ACGAAGGGGGCAAGCGUUGUUCGGAAUCACUGGGCGUAAAGAGCACGUAGGCGGAUUGUUAAGUUAGGGGUGAAAUCCCAAGGCUCAACCUUGGAACUGCCUCUGAUACUGGCAAUCUUGAGAUCGAGAGAGGAGUGUGGAACUCCGAGUGUAGAGGUGAAAUUCGUAGAUAUUCGGAAGAACACCAGAGGCGAAGGCGGCACUCUGGCUCGAUACUGACGCUGAGGUGCGAAAGCGUGGGGAGCAAACAGG
rnacentral:rRNA from 1 species